rnacentral:piRNA from 1 species
AUGGAGCAAUGGGAGCAAGAGCAGGCA